rnacentral:rRNA from 1 species
GGGGGGCCWGCAGUAGGGAAUCUUCCGCAAUGGACGAAAGUCUGACGGAGCAACGCCGCGUGAGUGAUGAAGGUUUUCGGAUCGUAAAGCUCUGUUGUUAGGGAAGAACAAGUACCGUUCGAAUAGGGCGGUACCUUGACGGUACCUAACCAGAAAGCCACGGCUAACUACGUGCCAGCAGCCGCGGUAAUACGUAGGUGGCAAGCGUUGUCCGGAAUUAUUGGGCGUAAAGGGCUCGCAGGCGGUUUCUUAAGUCUGAUGUGAAAGCCCCCGGCUCAACCGGGGAGGGUCAUUGGAAACUGGGGAACUUGAGUGCAGAAGAGGAGAGUGGAAUUCCACGUGUAGCGGUGAAAUGCGUAGAGAUGUGGAGGAACACCAGUGGCGAAGGCGACUCUCUGGUCUGUAACUGACGCUGAGGAGCGAAAGCGUGGGGAGCGAACAGGAUUAGA